GUGUCAGCCGCCGCGGUAAUACGGAGGGGGUUAGCGUUGUUCGGAAUGACUGGGCGUAAGGCGCGCGUAGGCGGAUCAGGAAGUUGGGGGUGAAAUCCCGGGGCUCAACCCCGGAAUGGCCUUCAAAACUCCUGGUCUUGAGUUCGAGAGAGGUGAGUGGAAUUCCGAGUGUAGAGGUGAAAUUCGUAGAUAUUCGGAGGAACACCAGUGGCGAAGGCGGCUCACUGGCUCGACACUGACGCUGAGGUGCGAAAGCGUGGGGAGCAAACAGGAUUAGAUACCCCCGUAGUCC
rnacentral:rRNA from 1 species